GACGAACCGUCCAAACGUUUAUUCGGAAUCACUGGGCUUACAGAGUUCGUAGGCGGUCUGGAAAGUUGGGUGUGAAAUCCCUCGGCUCAACCGAGGAACUGCGCUUGAAACUACCAGACUCGAGGGAGAUAGAGGAAAGCGGAACUGAUGGUGGAGCGGUGAAAUGCGUUGAUAUCAUCAGGAACACCGGUGGCGAAGGCGGCUUUCUGGGUCUUACCUGACGCUGAGGAGCGAAAGCCAGGGGAGCGAACGGG
rnacentral:rRNA from 1 species